rnacentral:tRNA from 1 species
GGUUGGGUUAGCUCAGUGUUUAGAGCUUUGGUCUUGUGACCUGAAGGUCCCGGGAUCUAAUCUCGCCAGAGGCA